GACAGGGAGACAGGUGGUGCAUGGUUGUCGUCAGCUCGUGUCGUGAGAUGUUGGGUUAAGUCCCGCAACGAGCGCAACCCCUACGUUUAGUUGCUAACGCGUGAAGGCGAGCACUCUAGACGAACUGCCGUUGACAAAACGGAGGAAGUGGGAUGACGUCAAAUCAUCAUGCCCCUUAUGUUCUGGGCUACACACGUGCUACAAUGGCCGGUACAGACGGACGCAAAGCCGCGAGGGCGGAGCAAAUCCGAAAAGCCGGUCUCAGUUCGGAUUGCAGGCUGCAACUCGCCUGCAUGAAGGCGGAAUCGCUAGUAAUCGCAGGUCAGCAUACUGCGGUGAAUACGUUCCCGGGCCUU
rnacentral:rRNA from 1 species